rnacentral:rRNA from 1 species
GGCGGAGCGUCGUUUGCGACGCCCAACACACAAAACAAGCGGUGAGUGCUUUGGGGUGGGGUGACUGCGUACCUUUUGUAUAAUGGGUCAGCGACUUAUAUUCUGUAGCAAGGUUAACCGUAUAGGGGAGCCGAAGGGAAACCGAGUCUUAACUGGGCGUUAAGUUGCAGGGUAUAGACCCGAAACCCGGUGAUCUAGCCAUGGGCAGGUUGAAGGUUGGGUAACACUAACUGGAGGACCGAACCGACUAAUGUUGAAAAAUUAGCGGAUGACUUGUGGCUGGGGGUGAAAGGCCAAUCAAACCGGGAGAUAGCUGGUUCUCCCCGAAAGCUAUUUAGGUAGCGCCUCGUGAACUCAUCUUCGGGGGUAGAGCACUGUUUCGGCUAGGGGGUCAUCCCGACUUACCAACCCGAUGCAAACUGCGAAUACCGAAGAAUGUUAUCACGGGAGACACACGGCGGGUGCUAACGUCCGUCGUGAAGAGGGAAACAACCCAGACCGCCAGCUAAGGUCCCAAAGUCACAGUUAAGUGGGAAACGAUGUGGGAAGGCUCAGACAGCCAGGAUGUUGGCUUAGAAGCAGCCAUCAUUUAAAGAAAGCGUAAUAGCUCACUGGUCGAGUCGGCCUGCGCGGAAGAUGUAACGGGGCUAAACUGUGCACCGAAGCUGCGGCAGCGACGCU